rnacentral:rRNA from 1 species
AAGGCCUUCGGGUUGUAAACUUCUUUUCUAUGUGACGAAGAUUCUUGACGGUAGCAUAGGAAUAAGUAUCGGCUAACUACGUGCCAGCAGCCGCGGUAAUACGUAGGAUGCAAGCGUUAUCCGAAUUUACUGGGCUUAAAGCGUGUGUAGGUGGUUUGGUAAGUCUGUAAUGAAACACCACGGCUUAACCGUGGAAACGUUAUGGAUACUGCUUUACUAGAGAACAGACGGGGAAAGUAGAAUUCCCGGUGUAGGGGUAAAAUCCGUUGAUAUCGGGAGGAAUGCCAGAGGCGAAAGCAACUUUCUGGACUGUUUCUGACACUGAGACACGAAAGCUAAGGGAGCGAAAGGGAUUAGAUACCCCUGUAGUCUUAGCUGUAAACGAUGCAUGCUUGAGGUUGAGGGUGUCGACCCCUUCAGUCUCGCAGGGAAACCGGUAAGCAUGCCGCCUGGGGAGUACGACCGCAAGGUUAAAACUCAAAGGAAUAGACGGGGACCCGCACAAGCAGCGGAGCGUGUGGCUUAAUACGAUGCAACGCGUAGAACCUUACCAGGGCUUGACAUCCGACUAAAACUUUAGAGAUAAAGUGUGCUCCUUUGGAGCAAGUCGUGACAGGUGUUGCAUGGCUGUCGUCAGCUCGUGCCGUGAGGUGUAGGGUUAAGUCCCGUAACGAGCGCAACCCUCGUCGUGUGUUACAACUUUCACGCGAGACUGCCAGGGAUAACCUGGAGGAAGGCGAGGAUGAGGUCAAGUCAGUAUGGCCCUUAUGCCCUGGGCUGCACACACGCUACAAUGACAAGUACAACGGGUUUUUGCGAAACCGCGAGGUGAAGCUAAUCCCAUCAAAGCUUGUCUCAGUACGGAUUGAAGGCUGCAACUCGCCUUCAUGAAGUUGGAGUUGCUAGUAAACGCCGGUCAGCACACGGCGUUGAAUAUGUUCCCGGGUCUUGUACUCACCGCCCGUCACGCCAUGAGAGUUGGUAACACCAGAAAUCACUGUGCCAACCGCAAGGAAGCAAGUGCUUAAGUGGGACCAAUGAUUGGGGCGAAGUCGUAA